GUCCUGAUUCCAAUGGUAGCUGAUUUACUGCCUUGAGUUUUUGUCUUUGGCCCAUCAAAGGGGGCUUUCACAGCUUUGAAUGGUGCCUGUGUCAAAAUUUGCCUGUCACCAGUAGCUCCACUCAGGUUUCGCCUCAAGUUUCCCUUCUCUUUAUAGUUUGUAUCGUCAACGUUCACCUGCUGUAGUGUCAGUAAAGACCUCCUGAUUCCAAUGGUAACUGAUUUACGGCCUUGAAUUUUGGUCUUAGGUCCUUCAAAGGAGGCUUUUGUAUCUUUGAAUGGUGCCCGUGUCAAG
rnacentral:misc_RNA from 1 species